AACGAACGCUGGCGGCAUGCCUAACACAUGCAAGUCGAACGAAGCCUUCGGGCUUAGUGGCGCACGGGUGCGUAACGCGUGGGAAUCUGCCCUUGGGUUCGGAAUAACAGUUAGAAAUGACUGCUAAUACCGGAUGAUGUCUUCGGACCAAAGAUUUAUCGCCCAAGGAUGAGCCCGCGUAGGAUUAGGUAGUUGGUGGGGUAAUGGCCCACCAAGCCGACGAUCCUUAGCUGGUCUGAGAGGAUGAUCAGCCACACUGGGACUGAGACACGGCCCAGACUCCUACGGGAGGCAGCAGUGGGGAAUAUUGGACAAUGGGCGAAAGCCUGAUCCAGCAGUGCCGCGUGAGUGAUGAAGGCCUAGGGUUGUAAAGCUCUUUUACCAGGGAUGAUAAUGACAGUACCUGGAGAAUAAGCUCCGGCUAACUCCGUGCCAGCAGCCGCCGUAA
rnacentral:rRNA from 1 species